UUUAUGGAGAGUUUGAUCCUGGCUCAGGAUGAACGCUGGCGGCGUGCCUAAUACAUGCAAGUCGAGCGAACGGACGAGAAGCUUGCUUCUCUGAUGUUAGCGGCGGACGGGUGAGUAACACGUGGAUAACCUACCUAUAAGACUGGGAUAACUUCGGGAAACCGGAGCUAAUACCGGAUAAUAUUUUGAACCGCAUGGUUCAAAAGUGAAAGACGGUCUUGCUGUCACUUAUAGAUGGAUCCGCGCUGCAUUAGCUAGUUGGUAAGGUAACGGCUUACCAAGGCAACGAUGCAUAGCCGACCUGAGAGGGUGAUCGGCCACACUGGAACUGAGACACGGUCCAGACUCCUACGGGAGGCAGCAGUAGGGAAUCUUCCGCAAUGGGCGAAAGCCUGACGGAGCAACGCCGCGUGAGUGAUGAAGGUCUUCGGAUCGUAAAA
rnacentral:rRNA from 1 species